rnacentral:rRNA from 1 species
GUACACGCUGUGACUAGCAUAUCAAUAAGCGGAGGAAAAGAAACUAACUAGGAUUCCCUUAGUAAUGACUCUGUGCAUAUCAAUAAGCGGAGGAAAAGAAACUAACAAGGAUUCCCCUAGUAACGGCGAGUGAAGCGGGAAGAGCUCAAAUUUGAAAUCUUAAAGGGUUUCCCUUUACGAAUUGUAGUUUAAAGAAGUGUUUUCUGUUGAGGUUUUGGUAAAAGUUCUUUGGAAUAGGACAUCAUAGAGGGUGAGAAUCCCGUAUUUGACCUUUACUUUCAACUUUGUGAUACACUUUCAAAGAGUCGGAUUGUUUGGGAAUGCAGUCCAAAAUGGGUGGUAAAUUUCAUCUAAAGCUAAAUAUUGGCGAGAGACCGAUAGCGAACAAGUACCGUGAGGGAAAGAUGAAAAGAACUUUGAAAAGAGAGUUAAACAGUACGUGAAAUUGUCAAAAGGGAAGCGUUUGACACCAGUGUUGUUUUUCUGAAAAUCAAUUAAAGAACUGUUUAUGCUAAGUUGUUUAGACUUUAUCAGCUAACUGUUUAGUUUUGAGCUUUUCUUUAAUGCACUUUUCAGUUAACAAGUCAACAUCAAUUUCUUUUGCUGUAAAAAAGCUUGAGGAAGGUGGCUUGAGAUUCGUCUUAAGUGUUUAUAGCCUCUUGCCUAUGCAGUCGGAGAGAUUGAGGUCUGCAGCGUAGAUCCUUCGGGGCUAAAUGCAUUUGUGCUAAGUUAUAACAUUUUAUAGACAACUUGUUGACUAUGAUUUGUCUUGUAGCUUACUCGCUUAUGUUAUUUUACCUACGCUUAGGAUGUUGAUCUACAGAGCGAGAGU